UAUGUACUCCCUCCGUUCGGAAUUACUUGCCGCAGAAAUGGAUGUAUCUAGACGUAUUUUAUUUCUAGAUACAUCCAUUAUCAAGACAAGUAAUUCCGAACGGAGGGAGUACACG
rfam:Triticum urartu cultivar G1812 contig896817, whole genome shotgun sequence.